AGAAUCUCCCGUGCCAGUGAGUCCCAGACCACCUUUCUUAGCACAAAAGGUCUGUGUUGCUCAAUUUCCAGAGUGUGAAAGGCCCCUAUCUUUACAUGUUCAUUCUCCAGAAUAUUCUUCCCGCGAAUACGCAAGGCAGAACCUUCUUUGUCAUACUCCACAUUCUCAACUUUAAUUUCCAAUUUCAGUUUCACUCGUUCAGCAUCUCUUCCUCCAGAAGCAGCUUCCCUCAGGACCUUCCUAACAGUAACAGCUAAUACAGUAUCACCUUCAGCUAUCAGAUUAUAAGCAACCCAUAGAUCAUCAGCUUCUUCUGGAAUUAUCUUUACACUACCAGAACCAUCAGGAACAAAGUCUCUACGAACAAUCUUCAUAUUGAAUGAAACAAAUUUAUCAACUUAAUGAAAAAUUCAAUAAUUUUGCAUGUAAAUAGCAGAAAAAAAGAUGA
rnacentral:misc_RNA from 1 species